rnacentral:tRNA from 1 species
GCCUUCGUAGUGUAAUGGUCAGCACACUCGGUGCAUAUUCGAGAGGUCCGGGGUUCGAGUCCCGGCGAAGGCG